rnacentral:rRNA from 1 species
AGUGAACGCUGGCGGUAGGCCUAACACAUGCAAGUCGAACGGCAGCACAGUAAGAGCUUGCUCUUACGGGUGGCGAGUGGCGGACGGGUGAGGAAUACAUCGGAAUCUACUUUUUCGUGGGGGAUAACGUAGGGAAACUUACGCUACUACCGCAUACGACCUACGGGUGAAAGCAGGGGUUCUUCGGACCUUGCGCGAUUGAAUGAGCCGGUGUCGGAUUAGCUAGUUGGCGGGGUAAAGGCCCACCAAGGCGACGAUCCGUAGCGGGUCUGAGAGGAUGAUCAGCCACACUGGAACUGAGACACGGUCCAGACUCCUACGGGAGGCAGCAGUGGGGAAUAUUGGACAAUGGGCGCAAGCCUGAUCCAGCCAUACCGCGUGGGUGAAGAAGGCCUUCGGGUUGUAAAGCCCUUUUGUUGGGAAAGAAAAGCAGCAGGUUAAUACCCCGCUGUUCUGACGGUACCCAAAGAAUAAGCACCGGCUAACUUCGUG